GAGAGUUAAACAGUACGUGAAAUUUGUUGAAAGGGAAGCGCAUGGGGGCAGACUUUGGACGCGGGGUUCAGGGUUUUCUUUUUUUGGAGGCGUGUACUUUCCCCGCGGACAGGCCAGCAUCGGUUCUGGGGGCCGGACAAAGGCGACGGGAACGUGGCUCUCUUCGGGGAGUGUUAUAGCCCGACGUGCAAUGCGGCCACCUGGGACCGAGGACCGCGCUUCGGCAAGGAUGCUGGCGUAAUGGCCUCAUGCGGCCCGU
rnacentral:rRNA from 1 species